rnacentral:rRNA from 1 species
UACAGAGGUCCCAAGCGUUUGUUCGGAUUCAUUGGGCGUAAAGGGUGCGUAGGUGGCGCCGUAAGUGGGGUGUGAAAUUUCGGAGCUUAACUCCGAAACUGCAUUCCAUACUGCGGUGCUUUGAGGACUGGAGAGGAGACUGGAAUUCAUGGUGUAGCAGUGAAAUGCGUAGAGAUCAUGAGGAAGACCAGUGGCGAAGGCGGGUCUCUGGACAGUUCCUGACACUGAGGCACGAAGGCUAGGGGAGCGAACGGG